AAGAACUAUAUAAUGACUGUUUUGUUAUCCGGACGGGAGAACGUUCUCUGAAUAAAGCUACAGAUACCUUUUGCAGAAAGCUGAGUCCUUGCCUAAUUAUUUUAACCCAUUGUCUUACAAACCUUGGGCAUUAGUCAAGGCGAAUUGAUUCUUGAUUAUUAUCAUCAAAGAUAUAAAAUUCCUUUUACAACUGGGUAGAGAGGAACCAGGCUCUGAGGGGUGACCAGUCCUCUACUGGCUGUACUUGGUAGACCAGAGGAACCAGGCUCUGAGGGGUGACCAGUCCUCUACUGGCUGUACUGGGUAGAUCAGAGGAACCAGGUUCUGAGGGGUGACCCGUCCUCUACUGGCUGUACUGGGUAGAGAGGAACCAGGCUCUAAGGAAUGACCUUAUUGGUCUGUUUUCAGUAGUAUUUAUAAAUUAUGCUUUACUUCCUGUACAGUAUAUAUGUAGUGUUGUUGUAAUGGUUUGACACGGCUUCUUUGUUUCAGAUGACGUGUUUCCUAAAUCACAAGUAAGGCUGAUUGUAAUCUACUCGAUGAUUGUUGGUCUACUAAUUGCAGCUGUUGGAAUUCUUACAGCUUCAGUUGGUGUUUACUUUCUACAUAAAGAGAAGAAGCUUAGAGAUGGGAAUAACUUUUGUCUACAGUGGGAAAUGAAUUAAGACAACAAGGUAAGUGGGCUGUUGUCUUAUUAGAGUUUCACAUAUAGAGAUUAUGAUUAUUACUAUAAUACUGAUGGGUCAACUGUUAAUCACAGACCUCAUGGUUUAUUACUAUAAUACUGAUGGGUCAACUGUUAAUCACAGACCUCAUGGUUUAUUACUAUAAUACUGAUGGGUCAACUGUUAAUCACAGACCUCAUGGUUUAUUACUAUAAUACUGAUGGGUCAACUGUUAAUCACAGACCUCAUGGUUUAUUACUAUAAUACUGAUGGGUCAACUGUUAAUCACAGACCUCAUGGUUUAUUACUAUAAUACUGAUGGGUCAACUGUUAAUCACAGACCUCAUGGUUUAUUACUAUAAUACUGAUGGGUCAACUGUUAAUCACAGACCUCAUGGUUUAUUACUAUAAUACUGAUGGGUCAACUGUUAAUCACAGACCUCAUGGUUUAUUACUAUAAUACUGAUGGGUCAACUGUUAAUCACAGACCUCAUGGUUUAUUACUAUAAUACUGAUGGGUCAACUGUUAAUCACAGACCUCAUGGUUUAUUACUAUAAUACUGAUGGGUCAACUGUUAAUCACAGACCUCAUGGUUUAUUACUAUAAUACUGAUGGGUCAACUGUUAAUCACAGACCUCAUGGUUUAUUACUAUAAUACUGAUGGGUCAACUGUUAACCACAG
rnacentral:lncRNA from 1 species